rnacentral:tRNA from 1 species
AGCUGGGUGACUUAGUAGAUUGAGUACCAGUCCUAGAAAUGGGAUGUCUUGGGUUCAAAUCACUUCCUAGCUG